rnacentral:rRNA from 1 species
UACACUCCUGCGGGAGGCAGCAGUGGGGAAUUUUGGCCAAUGGGCGAAAGCCUGAUCCAGCAAUGCCGCGUGAGUGAAGAAGGCCUUCGGGUUGUAAAGCUCUUUUGUCAGGGAAGAAACGGUGAAAGCUAAUAUCUUUUGCUAAUGACGGUACCUGAAGAAUAAGCACCGGCUAACUACGUGCCAGCAGCCGCGGUAAUACGUAGGGUGCAAGCGUUAAUCGGAAUUACUGGGCGUAAAGCGUGCGCAGGCGGUUUUGUAAGUCUGAUGUGAAAUCCCCGGGCUCAACCUGGGAAUUGCAUUGGAGACUGCAAGGCUAGAAUCUGGCAGAGGGGGGUAGAAUUCCACGUGUAGCAGUGAAAUGCGUAGAUAUGUGGAGGAACACCGAUGGCGAAGGCAGCCCCCUGGGUCAAGAUUGACGCUCAUGCACGAAAGCGUGGGGAGCAAACAGGAUUAGAUACCCGAGUAGUCCCAUG